CCCAAAGCCGCACUAGUCGACUACAAUAUACCCUUGAGCGGCAGUAACAGUUAUUACUACAUACAUAUGUAAGCGGUCUAAAAGUUUUGGGUUUCUGCGAUUUUGAAUUCUGCAUACGAAUUUUUAUUAACAAAAAUAUCAGUUUAGAUAAGGUAUACUCGUAGAAAAGUUUAGGUAGGAAAUAGUAACUGAAAGGGUUUAUAAAGCUCUAAAAAGUCUAUAUCCCAAAAUAUUCGGUAGUUGAAAUAUUUCCAGUAUGAAAAAUACAUAUGUAUUCAUUAAAAGUACGAUAGGUGGGUGGAAAGAUUUCCUGCUACACGGUUUUUUGAUAAAUGUUUUAAUUUAUAAUAUCUAAAUAUUUUUAAAUAUUUUUUUUUAUUAAAAAAAAUGCAGUAUACCCACGUACUUAUUCUGGUACUGAGUGUUAAAGAGGAGCGACGUCAGCGCAGGCAGCAAAAAAAGUACAAUAAUCAAAUAAUUGCGGCAGCUUCGUCGUCGCCCCCCGCACACAAACAUAUGUGCUCUCAAUCCCCUCACACACAUACGCAAUUGUCAAUCAAAUGUAAGCACAGGGUCGCCACUUCUUUUUGUUCAGCUUUUGAUUUUGCGGCAGUCACUGAGAAUGAUCAAAUCAAGCAAAAAUUAAGACUCAACAAAAUAUAAAAAAUUAAACAACAACAGGUGACGCGAAGUACGUAGCUAAAAAAAACGAAACGAAUCGAAAUGAAAGACUGUCGCCAGCCAGUCAGACGUUGUUUUAGUUGUUGCAGUUGUUGUUAUUUCCCCUAUUGUUGAUUACGUACCCCACACACACACUCUCACACAAAUGCGCUCUGUAAAACACGCGCACGCACACAACCAACCGACCCCAUCGUCGACCACAUUCCCCCGCACAAAUAUGCGAAAUUUUGCUGACUAAGGAAGGUCUGGGGAGCACCAGGCAGAAAAAAAGCAGCAGAAAGCAAAAAUGAGGCUAAAAAGCACAGCGCGAUAACAACAAUAGCGUUUAAAACGUAGAAGCACAAAACGAAGCAACGGAAAAAGUGAUAAUAAAAUAAUAAUUGCUACAGCGCACACCGAUCGCGCGCAAGAGAGAGAGAGAGAGAGCAGGCCAGAGUUGCCAUAUUAGCUUUAGAUGAGGUAGAAACCACAUUAGCAACCCCCACUCCAUCCCCAAUCCACUUAUUCAGCACGAUCUGCCCAUCUGUGUUUCACCUUAACUUUUUUAUAGCUAAACUUCUCUUUUGUAGCUCAUUUGGGACAUCGUAUGGGACAUCAUUUAGGACAUGGAAUGUCAUUUAAGAAAAAAGUCUGAUUUUGUAAAAUUCGAACGCUAUAAUUUAUUAAUUAUUUAUUAUUCUUAGACGGCUUCCCUUAAUUAUGUACAGGUAGGUGUUCUAAGCUUUUUUUGGGUCUAGCUACUUUUCAAUGGCAGCAGGACUGUUUGCCAUGUGGCGACGAAGCCCCACAGCCAGAGCCAGUGCUCCCCCGCUUCCCGCUCCCGCACCCAGCCACUGGCGGUUCGCUCGCGAACAUGACUAAGCCAAACAACUUGACAACACUGUCGGGGAAUUGUUGCUGUCUUUGAGUCAAUUCAUAAGAAACGAGGAAACCCGCCGCCAUAUCGUUGUUGCUGCCGUAUUUAUUUAUCCAUUAAAAAUCCAUCUACGAUAAGGACAGCGAAUUGGCCAAAGAGCUUGGCAACAACAAUGGUAUCAGAACCACCAAAAGUCCCCCGAAGUCUGAAACUUUCUGUGCCAAAUCGAACGGAAGCGAUUCGAUAAGAACUAUCUCACACAACCCCUCUCAAUAUGGAAAAUCCAUCAUACGUAUGUAUGUACAUAUGUAGAUACAUACAUGCAUAUGUAUAUAUUCCAUUCUAUAGGAAUAGUUUUCGAUGUGUGCUCAGAUGUACAUUUAUUUGGACAGUUGACGUACGAUAACGCUCAGCACUUGGUCGCCGAUGAUAUCACGAAGAAAGGUAAACAAUCUAAUCAAUAAACACAAUCAAGCGAGGACGAGUGGAACGCACUCAUCUAUUAGAGCAACACCUAUGUACAUACAUACAUACAUACAUAGGUAUACACGUAGACAAGUCUGCAUACGCCUAGAAAUGUACACGGAAAGAAAUUGGUCAUUGUCAUAUGAAGCUUGAGCUCAUCUUGUGACAUCAGAAUUAUAUUUUGAAACAUCACGAAAUGGUUUUCCUAUCGUGCAAUAGUCUUUUGAUAAGAUUAUAAUAGUUUUGAUAGUGACAAUAAAUUAACUGAUCUGUCCAGCAAAUCUAUUUAAUUUCGUUUUCACAGUUUCCACUUAGUCCUUUUCAUUGUAUCAUAUGUACAUACAUACAUAUAUGUAAAUAGUACUGAGGAAUUGUAAUACUAUGGCAAUGAUUUGCCUUGUAUCUAAAGUAUUUCUAGGUGCAUGCAUUCGGUAUCCGUAUCUGUGUAAUACCAGUUGUUGGUACUCGUGGUCGAACUCGUACGAUUAAUCGAACAGGCGACGCUGCCACAUGCACGCGACGAUUGAUUACAGCAAUAAAACGUCUAUCGCAUCGAUUGAUUUAAAAAUAUAAACCCACACACACACACUCUCAGUCAGUCGAAGCCAUCGCAUAUGAUCGACAAUUAGGCUGCACGGCAACAAUUAACCGGGCAUCUGUGUCGGUGUAUCUGUGUGUCUGUGCGCGUUGCUGUGCGUCUGUGGUAGUGGCAAGUAUCUGCGAGUCUGGCAAACAUAAAUAGGCACAAGUGGCCGGCCCCAAAAGUGCAGCACAGGCAACAGUACCAAACCAAGAACAACACCCAGCGUACGUCGCCCCCGACGGGUUCUUACUCAUUCACGCAUUGGGUAAUCGAUACACUUGCAGACACACAUGGAGAAACGCUGCUCAGCCGCCAAAUGAAACCAUUAAGCGCUACAUAAAGCAGUCCACGUCGGGGAAGUCGGGGCCUCUCGGGUGUCAGGGGGGUACGGCGGGGCAUGGAGAGCGGCUGGGGCGACGCUGGAAACAUUGCAACCAGAAGCUACGAUCGCCAGUGCCGCCAAAGUGGCGACAGUCCCACACAGGCAAAAAAAGUUGUACUACAGCUAAUACUUCAAUUGUAUUUAAGAUUUCUUAAUUCUUGAAAACAAUAGAUACAUAUGUAUGUACCUAGAUACAAACAUAUGUAGAUAUAUUAUAUAGAUACAUGUAUAAUAUAGGUAAUCUAAAGCAGCUAUUUAGACUUAGUUGAUAUGUAUACAUAGAUUCAGAUUUAUUUAAGUGAUCAUACUUAAAUCAAGAUAUACAGUAACAGAUUUUCUGCCAGUGCACCUCUGGCUCCAAACUCCGGCGCAGACAGACAACGCAAACAAUCAGAGAGCUGGGCAGCAGCAACAACAACACGGCAGCACACAACACGGCGACGUGAUCAUGUCUGGCCCGUUCAGCAGUUCAGCCGUUCAGCAAAUGUUGGCGACGUCGCCGUUGCCGUCGCCGCUCGGCGGAUCCAACUUUGUUAUUAUUACCGCUUGUGCACAUGCCCCCAACUGCCCACGAUUCGAUGUUGCCGCUCCGCUGUCCGCAGAGCAAACAGGUUUGACCAUUCACUUGAACCGCUUUUGGGAGUCGCCAACUGGAGGAGGAGGCUCCUCCACACGAUGGGGGUGCUCAGGGGCGGAGGGACUGUGCCAGGGGAGUUCCAGGGGAAGGGGGUUGGUUGGUUGUCUUCGUCAUCGACAUUAAACGUAAUCAAUAGAGCGAACUUCUUUAAUUGAGCAUCGGUAACGUGCGAGAGACAAAAGCGAAGCGACAAUCAAAACUAAUUGAAUGCACAGUGCAAAAAAUACCCAUUUUGAGAUAAACGACGCAGGAUUGAUUGCCAUUGGCAAGAUCACGGAGAGAAAUAUUUAUCAUUUUAUGUACAAGGAAAUUUAUCAGGAAUUUCAAAGUUUCCAUUUAUCUAUCAAGAUCUAUUUAUCUAAUUAUAUUUUUAUAUAAAUUAAUUUUAUAAAGUUGCUUAAAUCAAUACUAUGGAAUAGAUUUAAAAUAAAGAGAUGGUUGCUAAAACACAUAUUACAUGUUGAUAUGUUAUUAUUGUUCAAGUGCAAUAAUGUUGCAUGUAUAUUAAGGUGGCCAAUUGUUACUGUGCAGCAUUAAUAAGUAGCUUAUCCUAAACCGAUUUCCGUUCCACAUAUAAUUGCACGGCACAUAACAACCUGCCCAAUUACGCAUUGCAUAGUUAUGGGCGUUAUCGAUUUUGGAAGCCGCUUAGACCCAAUGCCAAGUUGAUCGAACUGUGCUGCAAAAGCCAGCCAGACCAUUUGCGUCUAUAUUGGGGCACCACUACCAUCCGGUUGUCAUGGGGAAACUCCGGUGGGAGCACUUCGUGGCCGGAUUGGGAGUGUCCGACAUUACGAGUAAUGCUUCCGUUGAUCGACGGAAUUCCCAUUUGCCAACGAGUGCCUAUUAAUUUCUUUUAAGAACGUGCACAAGUUAUGUUUAUAAGAAUUACUAUUCCUUACUUAUCAAGAGGGGCAGUAAUAUUAUAAAGUGUGGAAUGGGGCACCAUCUUACCUAUAAAUAUCUCUUAAUUUGUUAUUUGUUUUAGAAUUAGUUCUGAGUAUUAACGAUUGCUAGUCCUAAAAAAUAUUUUAAUAAAUCAUCUACAAUUAUCUACCGAAAUUCAGUUGAAAACAACUUGCAAAUCUCAUUCACGGUGACUAUAUGAAACAGAUUAUCAAAUCAUCUAAAAUAAUCGACAACGAAUUAAGAAACCACUUGAUGGGCGUAAAAUAGAACACGGCACUAUAAGGAGAUAAGCCUAUAAUUAUUCUGUAAAUUCAUAGCUGAUUUCCAAUAACAUCAUCCCCAUCUCAGCAGUUCGAUCCGCACUAUCAGUACGUGGCCUUUCCACAGAAAAGGCUAUCGGAUUGAAUCCAGAGUUUCUUAGUCAGACUGCCUGGUGGUGGUGGUGGUACUAUAAUAGUGGAUCCGAUUCGAUUGGAAAGUGACUGAAUGCGUCAGCACUGAAUAAAUAAACGUGGACGCCCAGACCUUAGUCAACUGCCAACUACAAGUUUUCGACGUUAUAUGUAUACUCGUAUAUACAUAGUGGGCCCAAACAGAAUUGACCGCGCGGAGCUUUUGGUGUUUGGACCCGCUUAACUUGGCCAUUAUACGAUUGUCGAUUGCUCAUUUGUUGACACGCAACACUGGCUUUUCGCCGUUGGCAGUCAGCUGAAAACGCGGUGCGAGUAACACAUCACCGACUGAGGUGGAAUAAUCGGCGAAAACAGCCGCCCAGUCCGGAUUUUAGUUAUUUUAGUUUAUUUACCCAACCUCAACUAUCCAAUAACAACAAUCAGAAAAGCCCCAGAGGGCUGCAAACUAUGAAUCAAGUGGAAUUUACAUAUACACGCAGUUUCAUCUGCCGUGAGUUGUACUCAUUCACAAUUAAGGAAAUACAAGCAACGUAGUGCUAUCUGAAUAAAUGGCCAGAAAUUAAAAUAAUUUCUUGUGAUAGUUAUAACAACGGUCUUGAGAAACGAUAGAUAAAUAAAGUAUAUGUCUUGGCCUAAGGAAAAUUUUAAAUAGAGUUUUCCUCAUAAUGAUUUUGCUGAUAUAUUAUUGACCUUUCGGAAUAGCGAGGUAUAUAACCCAUUUAGCUGUUAACCCAAAAUUCGUAGGGUACUUCAAAUUCGUUAGUACCCGUUUUCCAAGUUUAUGUACACAAGUCCGAGAGUCGAUGCCUCUGGCUGCUGGUGCCGCAGUUGCUCCGGCUGAUUGGGAAUCGCCAGUUUGGCGACUGCUUGCACAGAUACAGAUAGAGAUACACACUCUCGGGGGCCAGAGAUACAAAUACAGAUACUUCUGUACACAUUCUUCGGCACGACGCUUGUCGGCGUACUUGUAGCGUCUAUAAAAUCGCUUUAUAUUAAGCACCGAGAGCAGUAAAUAAAACGCAAAACGCGGCGAUCGCAGACGAGUGACGCC